rnacentral:tRNA from 1 species
GGGUCGUUAGCUCAGCCGGUAGAGCACCUGCCUUUUAAGCAGGGGGUCGCAAGUUCGAGUCUUGCACGACUCA